AGAGUUUGAUCCUGGCUCAGAACGAACGCUGGCGGCGUGCUUAACACAUGCAAGUCGAACGCGAACGGUUUCUUCGGAAACUUAGUAGAGUGGCGCACGGGUGAGUAACGCGUAAGUUAUCUACCCUCCCAUCUGGAAUAACUCACCGAAAGGUGUGCUAAUACCGGAUACGUUGGAAACAAGAAAGGUGGCCUCUAUUUAUAAGCUACCGUGGGGGGACGAGCUUGCGUACCAUUAGCUAGUUGGUAGGGUAAUGGCCUACCAAGGCAACGAUGGUUAGCGGGUCUGAGAGGAUGAUCCGCCACACUGGAACUGGAACACGGACCAGACUCCUACGGGAGGCAGCAGUGAGGAAUAUUGCGCAAUGGGGGAAACCCUGACGCAGCGACGCCGCGUGGAUGAUGAAGGCCUUUGGGUCGUAAAAUCCUGUCAGAUGGAAAGAAAUGCUACUACGCUAAUAUCGUAAUAGUUUGACGGUACCAUCAAAGGAAGCACCGGCUAACUCCGUGCCAGCAGCCGCGGUAAU
rnacentral:rRNA from 1 species